rnacentral:lncRNA from 1 species
UAGGGUUAGGGUUGGAGUUAGGGUUAGUGUUGGAGCUAGGGUUAGGGUUGGGCUUGGAGCUAGGAUUUUUCUGAGUGCAAUGAACCAACUCCUGAGUCUCUAGGACGUUCCUAAAAAAAUUUGAUUUUUUCCCAUAGGAAUGCAUGGGUUAGGGUUAGGGUUAGGGUUGGAGCUAGGGUUAGGGUUAGGGUUAGGGUUGGAGUUAGGGUUAGUGUUGGAGCUAAGGUUAGGGUUGGGCUUGGAGCUAGGAUUUUUC